rnacentral:rRNA from 1 species
UACGGAGGGUGCAAGCGUUAUCCGGAUUUACUGGGUUUAAAGGGUGCGUAGGUGGGUAGAUAAGUCAGCGGUGAAAUCUCCAGGCUUAACUUGGAAACUGCCAUUGAUACUAUCUGUCUUGAAUAUCCUGGAGGUGAGCGGAAUAUGUCAUGUAGCGGUGAAAUGCUUAGAUAUGACAUAGAACACCUAUUGCGAAGGCAGCUCACUACGGGAUUAUUGACACUGAGGCACGAAAGCGUGGGGAUCAAACAGG